UCCUUUCUCCUCAUUUUCUCCAUUCUCUUGUCUUUUCCCAGCCCCCUCUGCAGCUCUUCAUGGGGGUCCACUCAAGUCAGAAGCCACAUUUGGGUGUGAUUCAGAGAGCUGUUUAUGCAAAACCAGCUUUGUCACCAUCAGGCAAGGCACCUGAAUUCCCACCGCAGAGAGUGUUGUGGCCGUGAGGACUUUUCUGUCACCAGCCAUUUCCAGGUAGACCCAGUGUAAUCACAAGCAUCCUUGUAAGUGGCAAAGAGGCAGAGGAGACAGCGCCAGAGAGGCAGCUGCAUGAGAAGGAUCAAGAUGUUGCUGACUUUGAAGUUGGAAGAAGAAGGCCAUGAGCCUCAGUAUGUGGGCGGCUUCUAGAAGCUGGAAGGGGCAAGGAGAUGGAUUUGACCCUUCAGCCUCCAGGGGCAGCUGUACCUGCCAUCACUGAUUGUAGCCUGGUGAGGCCUGUUUUAGACUUCUGACCUGUAGAGCUGUAACAUAAUACAUUUGGGUUGUUUUCAACCACUAAGUUUGUGGUAAUUUGUUGUAGCAGCUGUAGAAAAUGAAUACAUAUGAAUCCUCUGGCAUUUGUUUGAGAUUUGCUCUAUGGCCUAGUAUGUGGUUGUAAAUGUUCCAUCUGUGCCUGAAAAAAUGUAUAUUUCUAAUUCAGUAGUCUCUGCUUUUUUUUUUUAUUUUGUACCCCAUCAAUAAAAUGAUUUUCAG
rnacentral:lncRNA from 1 species